AAUCAACGCUGGCGGCGUGCCUAACACAUGCAAGUCGAACGAGAAAGGGGACUUCGGUCCCUGAGUACAGUGGCGCACGGGUGAGUAACACGUGACUUAUCUACCCUCGAUGGGGAAUAACUUCGGGAAACCGAGGCUAAUACCGCAUACUUAAAGACGACAAGUCGCUAAGAGAUGAGCCUGCGUAGGAUUAGGUAGUUGGUAAGGUAAUGGCUUACCAAGCCCGAUGAUCCUUUAGCUGGUCUGAGAGGAUGAUCAGCCACAUUGGGACUGAGACACGGCCCAAACUCCUACGGGAGGCAGCAGUGGGGAAUUUUGCGCAAUGGGGGAAACCCUGACGCAGCAACGCCGCGUGGAGGAUGAAGUCUCUUGGGACGUAAACUCCUUUCGAUCGGGACGAUUAUGACGGUACCGGAAGAAGAAGCCCCGGCUAACUUCGUG
rnacentral:rRNA from 1 species